rnacentral:misc_RNA from 1 species
UCCGGUUUAACACCGGCAGUUUCGCUAGAGUCCCCGGCUUUACCCGCUGGCAACUAAGGGCAGGGGUUGCGCUCGUUGCGGCACUUAAGCCAACACCUCACGGCACGAGCUGACGACAGCCAUGCAGCACCUGUGCUGGCCCCUUACGGACACGGGCUUUCACCCGCUUCAACCAGCAUGUCAAACCCAGGUAAGGUUCUUCGCGUCGCAUCGAAUUGAGCCACAUGCUCCGCCGCUUGUGCGGGUCCCCGUCAAUUCCUUUGAGUUUUAGCCUUGCGGCCGUACUCCCCAGGCGGGGUGCUUAAUGCGUUAGCGUCGGCACGGAGCGGGUUGAAGGCCACCCCACACCUAGCACCCAACGUUUACGGCUGGGACUAC